CUACGGGAGGCAGCAGUGGGGAAUAUUGCACAAUGGGCGCAAGCCUGAUGCAGCCAUGCCGCGUGUGUGAAGAAGGCCUUCGGGUUGUAAAGCACUUUCAGCGAGGAGGAAGGCAUUAAGGUUAAUAACCUUAGUAUGACGUUAUCGCAGAAGAAGCACG
rnacentral:rRNA from 1 species